UCUCUGUUAGUAUAUCGGUUAGUACACGCGCCUGUCAUGCAUUGACCGCGCGAAAGCGGGGUUCGACUCCCCGACAGAGAG
rnacentral:tRNA from 1 species